CCUACGGGAGGCAGCAGUGGGGAAUAUUGGACAAUGGGGGAAACCCUGAUCCAGCCAUGCCGCGUGAAUGAUGAAGGCCUUCGGGUUGUAAAGUUCUUUUGGAGGGGACGAUGAUGACGGUACCCUCAGAAUAAGCUCCGGCUAACUUCGUGCCAGCAGCCGCGGUAAUACGAAGGGAGCUAGCGUUGUUCGGAAUUACUGGGCGUAAAGGGCGUGUAGGCGGUUUGGUCAGUCAGAUGUGAAAGCCCCGGGCUUAACCCGGGAACUGCGUUUGAUACUGCCAAGCUUGAAUUCGGGAGAGGUGAGUGGAAUUCCCAGUGUAGAGGUGAAAUUCGUAGAUAUUGGGAAGAACACCGGUGGCGAAGGCGGCUCACUGGACCGACAUUGACGCUGAGGCGCGAAAGCGUGGGGAGCAAACAGGAUUAGAUACCCCAGUAGUC
rnacentral:rRNA from 1 species